GCCCGGGUGGUGAAAUUGGUAGACACAACGGACUUAAAAUCCGUCGGCUCGAAAGAGCUGUACCGGUUCGAUUCCGGUUCCGGGCA
rnacentral:tRNA from 1 species